UACGUAGGGUGCAAGCGUUAAUCGGAAUUACUGGGCGUAAAGCGUGCGCAGGCGGUUUUGUAAGUCAGAUGUGAAAUCCCCGGGCUUAACCUGGGAAUGGCCUUUGUGACUGCACGGCUAGAGUGUGUCAGAGGGGGGUAGAAUUCCACGUGUAGCAGUGAAAUGCGUAGAGAUGUGGAGGAAUACCGAUGGCGAAGGCAGCCCCCUGGGAUAACACUGACGCUCAUGCACGAAAGCGUGGGGAGCAAACAGG
rnacentral:rRNA from 1 species